rnacentral:lncRNA from 1 species
CACAAGCACGAAGUCAGGUAAAGUAUUAACUCUUUCUUCAGUUUUAUUGGCCAAAAAAUUUUUUUUACUGAUACAUGUUGAUCUAUUAGAUAAACAUAACCUAGUCAAUAGUUUAUUAUUGUAUUUUUUCUGUUGAAAUUUUUUUAAUAACUUUUGUGGAUUAAGAUUCGUGUUUGGUUUUCUUUUUCAUUUUCCGAAUAUUUUUUAAAAUGUUUUUAGUCUUUUUCUUUUAUGUUUUAUUAAUACAAGUAUAGUUCUGUUAGAUUACAAAAUUCAUAUUCAAAAGUUUAUUACUUAUUGAAAUCUGAUUUUUUUUCAGUUGCGCUUUUUGAAUAACUUUUUGUGGAAUAAGAAGUGUGCUUGUUACUUUUAUUUACAUUUCUUUUUUAUAUAUAUAUUUUCUUCCUUAAAAUAACGCGCGCGUAAAACAAUUAAUUUAAAAAAAUAUAUAUGAUCCUGAAUAAUCCCAAGUAUAUUCGUAGAUAUAUUCAGAUACAAUAUAAAAUGAUACAUUAUAGUAAGCUGGUGAUACAUGAUUCUAUAAAUUCUAAAUUUGAAUAUGAAUUUUGAUUUAAAUGAUUAUUUUCUUUGUUUUAGAAUGAAACUUGCCAUCACAACUGUUGCUAUCUUGGUCUGCCUUUGUGGCAUGACAAUUGCUGAUGAUUAUUACGGAGGCUCCGGAUAUUCCGGAAGCUAUGGUGGUGGAGUCGGUGGAUACUCCGGAAGUUACGGUGGCAUCGGAGGAUAUGGUGGAAGCAUGGGUGGAUAUGGCGGUUAUUCAGGAUACGGACAAAAGGGAUACUCUGGUUACGGC